GCGCAUGCGGCAGUGGGAGCGGGGCGGAGCAGCGCGGGCGGAGCCGCAGGGAGCGGCAGUGGCGCUGGGCAGGCUGCAGCGGAAUGGCGGCGAGCACAGAGCGGCAGGCAGGCAGGCAGGCGGGCAGGGCGUUUCGGGCCAGAGGGAAGCCUCCCGCGUUCCCCGCCAGAGCUGCGUUCUUUGUCUCUCGCAGCAGAGGAGUUUGGGCAGGUGAGUUGCUCGGCAGCGGCGCCGCAUCUGAGACGCGUUUUAGCGCAGCUGCCGUAAGUAGCCUUUGCGGCGCUGUCUGCACGUGUGCGGGGGUCUGGAGGCAUCUGUAGAUACCCUUAGGGGCCUGGAGGGCUCUCUGGGUGUCUGUGGAGGUCUUGAGGUGCCUUGCGAAGGUCUCGAGGUGUCUGUAGAGGUCUGUAGGGGUCUGCAUGGUUCUCUGGCAGUCUGUAGAGGUCUGUGGGGGUCUCUAGGGGCCUCUUAAAGACAUGUAGGGGUCUGUAGGGCUCUAUGGAAAGGUCGGGAGGGGUCCCUAGAGGUCUCUAGGAGGCUGGAGGGGUGUGCAAGUGUCUGUAGCAUUCAGCAGGGGUGUGGAGGUUUCUGUUCUGGGCCCGCAGGUGUCUGCAGGCAUCUUGUAAAGGUCUGCAGGGGUCUGUGGAGCUCUGUCAGGCAUCUGUUAAGUGUCUGCAGGAAUGCAUUCAAGGUGUGGAGGGGGCUGCAGGGCUCUGCAGAGGAGGCUGUGGCUGUGUGUAGAGGUCUUAGGGGUGUGAAGAGUUUGCAGGGGUCUGUAAGGGUCUGCAGAGCCCUUGGAAAGGUCUGAAGUUGUCUGUAGGAGUCUGGAGAUGUCUCUAGG